rnacentral:lncRNA from 1 species
CAUAAACAGAACAAUGGGAAGUCAGAUUGUGUUCUGCUGAAGAGUGUCCAUGGGCUGAAGGCUUUUGAAAUCAAAUCACAGUAGAAUUGCCUGAAGGAAGUGAGAGUGUAUAGCCUGAUGCCGAGAAGAAAAAGCCUGGGGGUAACAUACAGAGAGGCCCAGCAAGCAGAUUUGAGAGAUUGUGCUCUGUACUUGUGCAAUCUAAUUGUGUCCUGUUAGAAAGGAGAUGUCCUGGGAAACUCAGAUUAAGGUUUCUAGCAACUGUGAAUCCAUUUUAUGAAUGGGAAGGAAAUGAGGCACAUGGUGACCUUCACCUGCAGCACCUUCCCUCUCAGUAUGAGGCCACCAUCUGGACGCCGAGACUCCUUUGGCAGAUUGAGAUCUGGAACAUGGAGUGAGCUACAACAAGGGCUGGAGAAUUUUAGUGGCCUCCAACAGAAGCUGAGAAACCAGAGAGGAGACUGUGGAUCUGAUGCUCCUGGGACUCAGAACCUUUAGAACUCUUUAUAAAUGGGAUAAAACUGGCUCUCCGGGGCUCAGACCCUAGGAAAGAAUAAUCCACAAUAGUUAACAAUGGUCUGGGCUUGGUCAGAUGGAUCUGACUUGCA